CCCGGCUUAGCUCAGUUGGUAGAGCGACGGACUGUAGAUCCGUAGGUCUCUGGUUCGAAUCCGGAAGCCGGGA
rnacentral:tRNA from 2 species